UACGAAGGGGGCUAGCGUUGCUCGGAAUCACUGGGCGUAAAGGGUGCGUAGGCGGGGCUUUAAGUCAGGGGUGAAAUCCUGGAGCUCAACUCCAGAACUGCCUUUGAUACUGAGGAUCUUGAGUUCGGGAGAGGUGAGUGGAACUGCGAGUGUAGAGGUGAAAUUCGUAGAUAUUCGCAAGAACCCCAGUGGCGAAGGCGGCUCACUGGCCCGAUACUGACGCUGAGGCACGAAAGCGUGGGGAGCAAACAGG
rnacentral:rRNA from 1 species